CCUACGGGAGGCUGCAGUAGGGAAUAUUGCUCAAUGGGGGAAACCCUGAAGCAGCAACGCCGCGUGGAGGAUGAAGGUUUUCGGAUUGUAAACUCCUUUUGUUAGAGAAGAUAAUGACGGUAUCUAACGAAUAAGCACCGGCUAACUCCGUGCCAGCAGCCGCGGUCAUACGGAGGGUGCAAGCGUUACUCGGAAUCACUGGGCGUAACGAGUGCGUAGGCGGGAUAGCAAGUCAGAUGUGAAAUCCUAUGGCUUAACCAGAGAACUGCAUUUGACACUGGUAUUCUAGAGUAUGGGAGAGGUAGGUGGAAUUCUUGGUGUAGGGGUAAAAUCCGUAGAGAUCAAGAGGAAUACUCAUUGCGAAGGCGACCUGCUAGAACAUAACUGACGCUGAUGCGCGAAAGCGUGGGGAGCAAACAGGAUUAGAUACCCGAGUAGUC
rnacentral:rRNA from 1 species